rnacentral:rRNA from 1 species
GUCGGUCGUCGAUUCGAUAUUUCCGUCGCCGACCCUCGUACCGAGGGUGUCGGACGUCGCGACCCGUUCGCCGAGUCGAUGCUUAGGGACGCGUUUUUCGGUUCGCCAGCGCGGUCGCUUCGGCGGCCGCGCGACGACGGCGCGUUUCCGUUGUUUUCGACGCGGACGGUAGCUUUGCGCGCGGGUAUUCGACGCGGCCCAUUCGCCCGGCGCGCUUUAGCGUCGGGCGGCGCUCGCGUCGACGCCGGUCAGCGACGAAUCUUCGGGCCUCUUUCCGACCCGUCUUGAAACACGGACCAAGGAGUCUAGCGUGCGCGCGAGUCGCGGGGUAUCCGAGCCGUUUUAAGCGCGGCUCGUCACGAUACGAAACCCGUGUACGUACGUUGUGCGAAGGCGUAAUGAAAGUGAAAGGCGGCGCUUCGCGCGUCGCCGGGGGAAGAUGGCGUUCCGAGUCCACGUUUCGCGGUCGCACGUGUACCGCGGCCGGACGCUCGCAUUCCCAGGGCGUCCCGCUCGUACGUCGGCGGUCGGGGUUCGCGCUUCGGCCGCCGUCGAACUGG